UUACGUGACGAAGCGCGUGGCAAAGUAGACAAUAAAGCCUGAGCUUUAAGCAAGUCGCCAGACGCCGGUUAAGCCGGCGUUUUUUU
rfam:Citrobacter koseri ATCC BAA-895, complete genome.